GAUGAAGAACGUAGUGAAAUGCGAUACUUGGUGUGAAUUGCAGAAUCCCGUGAACCAUCGAGUCUUUGAACGCAAGUUGCGCCCGAAGCCAUUAGGCCGAGGGCACGCCUGCCUGGGCGUCACACGUCGUUGCCCCCCCAUCUACUCCUUCGGGAUUGCGGGGGGUGGAUGAUGGCCUCCCGUGCGCCUCGCCGCGCGGUUGGCAUAAAUGCCAAGUCCUCGGCGACGCACGCCACGACAAUCGGUGGUUGCGAAACCUCGGUUGCCCGUCGUGUGCGGUCGUCGCGCAUCGAGGGCUCGAAAAAAUUGCCGGGUUCCGGCUCGGCUUUCAACGCGACCCCAGGUCAGGCGGGGUUACCCGCUGAAUUUAAGCAUAUCAAUAAGCGGAGGA
rnacentral:misc_RNA from 1 species